rnacentral:rRNA from 1 species
AUGGUGAACUAUGCCUGGCCAGGACGAAGCCAGGGGAAACCCUGGUGGAGGUCCGAAGCGAUUCUGACGUGCAAAUCGAUCGUCUGAGCUGGGUAUAGGGGCGAAAGACCAAUCGAACCAUCUAGUAGCUGGUUCCCUCCGAAGUUUCCCUCAGGAUAGCUGGCUCUCGGGAAGAGACGAGUCUCAUCCGGUAGAGCGAAUGAUUAGAGGUGAUGGGGUCGAAACGACUUCAACCUAUUCUCAAACUCCCAAUAGAUGAGAGCCCCGGCUUGCUUGAAAGUGAAGCCGCGGGACACGGAUCAGAGGUGCCAAGUGGGCCAAUUUUGGUAAGCAGAACUGGCGCUGUGGGAUGAACCAAACGCAGAGUUAAGGCGCCUGAUUCGACGCUCAUCCGAAACCAUGAAAGGCGUUGGUUGCUUAAGACAGCAGGACGGUGGCCAUGGAAGUCGGAAUCCGCUAAGGAGUGUGUAACAACUCACCUGCCGAAGCAACUAGCCCUGAAAAUGGAUGGCGCUGUAGCGUCGUGCCUAUACUCUGCCGUCAACGGCAAAGCGGGCGGCCCCUCACGGGGCGUUGCCGUUAAGCCUUGACGAGUAGGAGGGUCGCGGCGGUGUGCGCGGAAGGGUCUGGGCGUGAGCCCGCCUGGAGCCGCCGCCGGUGCAGAUCUUGGUGGUAGUAGCAAAUACUCCAGCGAGGCCCUGGAGGACUGAUGUGGAGAAGGGUUUCUUGUGAACAGCUGUUGCACAAGAGUCAGUCGAUCCUAAGCCCUAGGAGAAAUCCGAAGCGAUGGUCUGCCGUUAAAUUUC